AUUGAACGCUGGCGGCAGGCCUAACACAUGCAAGUCGAGCGGAUGAAGGGAGCUUGCUCCUGGAUUCAGCGGCGGACGGGUGAGUAAUGCCUAGGAAUCUGCCUGGUAGUGGGGGAUAACGUCCGGAAACGGGCGCUAAUACCGCAUACGUCCUGAGGGAGCAAGUGGGGGAUCUUCGGACCUCACGCUAUCAGAUGAGCCUAGGUCGGAUUAGCUAGUUGGUGGGGUAAAGGCCUACCAAGGCGACGAUCCGUAACUGGUCUGAGAGGAUGAUCAGUCACACUGGAACUGGGACACGGUCCAGACUCCUACGGGAGGCAGCAGUGGGGAAUAUUGGACAAUGGGCGAAAGCCUGAUCCAGCCAUGCCGCGUGUGUGAAGAAGGUCUUCGGAUUGUAAAGCACUUUAAGUUGGGAGGAAGGGCAGUAAGUUAAUACCUUGCUGUUUUGACGUUACCAACAGAAUAAGCACCGGCUAACUUCGUG
rnacentral:rRNA from 1 species